rnacentral:rRNA from 1 species
AAAUUGAAGAGUUUGAUCAUGGCUCAGAUUGAACGCUGGCGGCAGGCCUAACACAUGCAAGUCGAACGGUAACAGGAAGCAGCUUGCUGCUUUGCUGACGAGUGGCGGACGGGUGAGUAAUGUCUGGGAAACUGCCUGGUGGAGGGGGAUAACUACUGGAAACGGUAGCUAAUACCGCAUAACGUCGCAAGACCAAAGAGGGGGACCUUCGGGCCUCUUGCCAUCGGAU